CGGGGUGUAGCGCAGUUGGGAGCGCGCCGCGUUUGGGACGCGGAGGUCGACGGUUCAAGUCCGUCCACCCCGA
rnacentral:tRNA from 1 species